rnacentral:rRNA from 1 species
UGUGGUUUAAUUCGAUGCAACGCGAAAACCUUACCUACCCUUGACAUGUCCGGAAUCCGAAGAGAGUUGGGAGUGCUCGCAAGAGAGCCGGAACACAGGUGCUGCAUGGCUGUCGUCAGCUCGUGUCGUGAGAUGUUGGGUUAAGUCCCGCAACGAGCGCAACCCUUGUCAUUAGUUGCCAUCAUUUGGUUGAGCACUCUAAUGAGACUGCCGGUGACAAACCGGAGGAAAGGUGGGGAUGACGUCAAGUCCUCAUGGCCCUUAUGGGUAGGGCUUCACACGUCAUACAAUGGUCGGUACAGAGGGUUGCCAACCCGCGAGGGGGAGCUAAUCCCACAAAGCCGAUCGUAGUCCGGAUCGCAGUCUGCAACUCGACUGCGUGAAGUCGGAAUCGCUAGUAAUCGUGGAUCAGCAUGUCACGGUGAAUACGUUCCCGGGUCUU